UAUUGAUUUAUGUAGGCCUAUCUGAACUUUAGCCUUAUCUUAGCAGUUCCCAGAGUGUCAAGCCGUAAAAGUUAAUUAAUACUGUCACAAAGUUCAUGUUGAAGUCAUUGAAGAUUUUUGGGUCAUCUGGAGUCAGUGAGAUGUACACCGUCAAGGAAGCAAGAUGAACAUUUAAAGGCUACUUAUAUGUAUUACUUUCAAGUUAAAUUCCAGAGAAACUUAAGAGUCCCCAGCUUUGUAAGUUUGAUUCCGGUUCCCGAUUUAUAUCAAUAUAUUUCUCAUGUUAAUAUCUUUUAGGUAGUAUCACUAGCAUUAGGCUUAUUUGAAUGAUUAAUUUUACAGAUUGAACCGCCGCCGCCACCGCCGCCAUCACUAUAUAGAUGAAGACAUCAUCAUCAUCGUAAGAAUCUCCAAAGUCAUGUUAUGUAAAGUGAAAGAUCAAAAGGGGCAAAUAAAAGGCGUGUUUCUUUUUUACGGGACACAACUUCGUUCAAGUUAUUCUUAAGGAUAUUUGGUACAUCUCAUUCGAAACUACAUUUUCUGUUCAAUAAAGGAAUUCUGGAUGGAAUUACCUUUUUUGGUCUUUCGACUUUCGAAGGAACUCACUCCUUAUCCAAGGAUAGAGGCCGACCAUAUGGGUCACGUACCUCACGACGUAAGGUUCGAUAUGUUAGUGAUUUGAAGCUGAUCAAGCCCAAGGCUGUCCGACACAGAUUGUGAAAAUGGCGUUUUCCAUGGUGCCCCAAAGGGAUCUAAAGGUGUUAAAGAAGAAACGGUCGACCGCAAAGGGACUAUUGACUAGAAAAGGCAACGAAAUUCAGACAUUAUUGGACUGUGUUGAUUCUUAUGGACAGUUAUCAAGGAUAAAUGAUUUAGGCGAAGAACUAGGUAGGCUGUUCACAAACUUUCUUGCAUGCCAUAAUGCAUAUCAUAGUCUUCUUUACAGUCCAGAAGAUAUUGCUGAGUCGAGGUUGUAUGUCGAUAGGGUUGCGCGUUUCAUGGGUCAACGCUUAGAAGAGGUAUCUUCUUGGUCUGAGGCUUUAAAAGACAGGAUCUCAGAAGGGGGGGUCAGUAGUGUCGGUUCAGAUGUAAGCUCAUUUGAUACUAGUGUCAGCCCAGAUGAUUCAAUUUCAACCAUGGCUUCUGAGCACAGGUCUGUCAAAGGUCGUAGCAGCACCCGAAGCGGCAGCCACAGGUCCAAUGUUUCCAUGGCCCAGAUGCGGGCAGCAGCCAAUUGUGCCGUUUAUGAAGUAGAGGCGUCACUACUGGCUGAGAGACAAGCUCUUGCCAAGAAGGAGCUCGAGAUGGUACAACAGCGGGAAGAGCUUGAGCUGAAGGCAAAAUUGGCGCAUGCUCGGGCCAAGGAAAGGGCAUGUUCCAUGGUUCACUCAAGUAGAACGUCACCUACUAAUGAGAAGGUGGGCGUUUCCGGGAAUGAGUCACAGGACAAGCCAAAGCGUGACCCCGGACAAGUAGGCCUAAUUCCCGACCCUAGAUUGAAUCCCAGGCAACCUGCGUUUCAUCCCGGCCAAGUUCAUGGCAACAUCUCCAAUUACCAGUCGACCCCGACCCCGAUGGCUCCAGAAAGUGUCACCACCAAUUUCCUUAGACCUACUCCAUUUCAAGGAAACAAUGAAGUAAGUACAUGUAUCCAGGCAACGGAGGUACCAGUAAGUCACGUGAGUGCACUUCCGGAUGCACUUAUGGAGGUUUUGCAUCAAGGGCAGCAGCAGCAAAGGUUGUUAUUGAAUACACUGCAGUUGCCUAAGGUUGACCUGAUGACCUUCGAUGGGGAUCCUCUCAGGUAUUGGUUGUUUAUAAGAGCGUUUGAGAACUCUGUUGACCGUGACCUCAUUGAUGAUAGUGUCAAGCUAAGUAGGCUUCUCCGUUACUGUACUGGAAAGGCAAGGCAGGUAAUUGAGUGUUGUGCAGUUAAGGACCCUACAGAGGGUUACAAGCUUGCCAGGAAACUUUUAAAGGACCGGUUUGGCAGUGAUUUUGUGGUGAGUCAGGCCUGGGUUAACCGGAUUGUCAACAGAAGGCAAGCCAAGGGUCCAGAAGCGAUAAGAGAUCUAGCUGAUGACCUGAAAAACUGUGUUGAAACUUUGACUGCAAUGAAACAGUUGGAUCGCUUAAACGAUUCGUACUUGGUGCAGAUCGUUGAGAGGUUGCCACAGUAUCUUCAGAAUAGAUGGAAAAGAGUGGUCCAGAAGAUACGGAAAACCAAGGAUGAUAGGCCUAGUCAAGGAAACCCAGGCAUUAAGGACCUUCUGCAGCUUAUUUCUGAAGCCGCAGAGGAAGAAAAUGAUCCUGUGUUUGGUAAGUGUGGUGCUAAGGAAUCCAAGACAGAAUCCAACCACAAGUCGAACAACAAGCAAAGACCUGGUCAUGGGUCAACGUUCAGUAUCCAGACGGAUACAGGUUACCAAGGUUCAAGUGGUGAUAAGCCCAGGGUACCCAAAUGCCUGGUAUGCAAAGAGGCGCAUCAUGUGACGGCCUGUGAAAUAUUCAAGAAGAUGACGCAAAAUGAGAGAUGGGUAACUGUGAGAGACAACAAGGUCUGCAAGAAUUGUUUGAAAGGACCGCAUUUUGCAUCAAAUUGUCGUAAUCCUCCUGCAUGUAAAGUUUCUGGCUGUGGGAAGAAACACAACACGCUCCUUCAUUUGGAUGGUGCUCCUGCACCCAAGUCUCGUGCAGACGGGCACGAUGUUCAAGAGAAGAAGGCCGAUGUCAAGCCGCAACCUGCAAGGUCCAAUGCCACAGUUUUGUCCACUGGGGCCGGUAUCAACCGUAUUGCCUCGCCAAUCAUUCCGGUAAAGGUCAAGGGUAUCGGAGGGAAUGAAGAAGUCAUAACCUAUGCGAUGUUGGACAACUGUUCUACGGCAACACUAUGCACGGAAAGUCUGGCGACCAAACUUGGACUAAAGGGAAAAACGGCAAUUACAGAAUUGACAACAAUAGAGAGGAAAGACAGUCGAUUUGAGACCACGAUUUAUGGAUUGGAAGUGGCUGACCUCGAUGGUAAGGAGGUUAUUACUCUUCCUCAUGUUUUCUCCAAGUCUAAUCUCAACGUUAGGCCUAAUGACAUAAAACCGUCCGACUUAAAUGACUGGCCUCAUUUACAAGGACUUGAUAUUCUGACGGUAGACACUGACAAGGUAGACCUACUUAUAGGACAGGACGUGCCGGAGGCUUUGGUCCCACUGGAGGUCAAGAGUCACGAUGACGAUCCCCGAAGAGUACCGUACGCUGUAAGGACAGCCCUGGGAUGGACCCUAAAUGGACCAUUUGGAGAGAAUGGAAGGACUGAUGAGCGGCACAGCUGUCACUUUAUCAACAAUGACACAAGUCUACAGCAGCAGGUCGAGCGAUUUUGGAAGCUCGACAAUCUAGGUGAUGGAACUGGUCUAUCCAUGGAUGAUAGAAAGGUGGUUGACCUUUGGGAUAGGACAGCCGUGUUACAGGAUGGACAUUAUACUUUGCCCAUACCAUUCAAACAAAGGCCUCCAAAUUUACCGGACAAUUACAGUAUGGCGAAGAAAAGGUUGGAAAGCCUAGGAAGAAGGUUUCAGAAAGAUGCUACCCUACAUGAGAGGUACAACACUGAGUUCAAGACCCUGCUGGAAGAAGGUUAUGCAGAAUUGGUGCCUGAUGAAGAAAUAAGCAGAAAGGACGGAAUGGUCUGGUACCUCCCUCACCAUCCCGUACUGAACCCAAAGAAGCCAGAGAAAACCAGAAUUGUGUUUGACUGUGCUGCGAAACACAGAGGAACCUCACUGAAUGAAAAUGUGCUCCAAGGUCCUGACUUGACCAAUAAGUUGAUUGGAGUACUGUUGCGGUUCCGCCAGGAGAAGGUAGGGUUCACGUCAGAUGUGCGGGCAAUGUUUAAUCAGGUCAGGGUUGAAAAGGAUCAUAGGGAUGUGCUCCGCUUCCUGUAUUUCGACGAGGGUGAUAUAACGAAGGCUCCAAGGAUUUAUAGAAUGCGAACACAUAUCUUUGGUGGGGUUUGGAGCCCCAGUGCUGCAAACUAUGCAUUGAAGAAGACUGCAGCUGACAAUGCUUCAGACUUCCCUCCUGAGACAGCUGAAACCGUAAAUAGGUCAAUGUAUGUAGAUGAUGUCCUUGGAAGUAAGGUAAAUGACCCUGAGGCUAUUGUACUGGCAACCAGUCUUCGAGAAAUGCUCAAAAGAGGAGGAAUGGAUGUAAUCAAAUGGGCCAGUAACAGCCGGGUUCUCUUGAAAGCCAUUCCAAAUUCUGACUUGGCCAUGGGGAUGAAGGACCUAGAUUUAGACAGCGAUGGUCUACCCACUGAACGAGCUUUGGGAAUGGUUUGGGAUGUAGAACAGGAUACCUUCAGACCGUGUAUUACCACACAAGAUCGCCCCAUGACAAGACGAGGAGUGCUUAGCAUCCUGAGUUCUGUUUAUGACCCUCUAGGAUUGGUUAGUCCAUUCGUGUUGAAAGCGAGGACUAUAUUCCAGGAUCUGUGCAGAGAAAGGUUAGGGUGGGAUGAUGGAAUGUCCCAACAUCAACAGCAGCAGUGGAACAGGUGGCUUGAAGAUUUACCAAAGCUUGAAAAUUUCUCUGUGCCACGAUGUCUGCGUUCAGAAGAUCUGGACACUGUAGUACAUAACCAGCUGCACCAUUUUUCAGAUGCAUCUGAAGGAGGGUUUGGCGCGACAAGCUACCUCAGACAAGAGGACAUAUAUGGACGUGUCCAUUGCGCACUAGUAAUGACCAAGGCAAAGUUAACCCCAUUAAAGACCACCACCAUCCCAAGGCUGGAACUUACGGCUGCUGUCGAAGCAGUGAAACUAGACAAACUUCUGCGUAGCGAGCUCGAGAUCCCUCUCUGCGAGUCUGUUUUUUGGACAGACAGCAUGAUUGUACUUUAUUACAUAAGGAAUGAGACAAAGAGAUACCAGACCUUCGUGGCAAACAGGGUGGCUAAAAUCCACGAGAGCACAGUGCCUACUCAGUGGAGGCAUGUACCCACAGAUCAGAAUCCGGCAGAUGAUGUAUCACGGGGUAUGACAGCCGAUGAAUUGAUUGGAAGCGGAAAUGAUCGGUGGAGAAACGGACCAGAAUUCUUGAAACAGCAGGAGACGCAAUGGCCUAAAGAGCCCAUUGUUAUUGAGACUGAAGGAAUGAUUGAGGUCAAACCGGAGGUGAAGGUUUAUGCAACGAACCCGACUCAGGAUGGAGGACAACAGGCAAUCAGCACGAUGAUAAAUCACUAUUCCUGUUGGUAUAGGCUCAAGAAAGGGAUUGCAUGGAUGCUGCGACUGAAGAAGGUGCUACACCAGAAGGUCAAGAAUAAGGACAUUCCCGGACAAGUUGCCAUGACCCCUCCAAGACGUGGCCUCACUGUAGAUGAACUUUUGGAAGCUGAGCAGGAGGUGCUGAAAUUCGUGCAGAAGAAGGCAUUUGGUGACAUUCAGGCAAACUUCAAGACCUGCAAGCUAAAGAAGCUGAACCCAGUGCUGGACAGCGAUGGGAUCCUGCGUGUGGGUGGUCGAUUGGAAAACUCCAACCUUCCUGAUGAAACCAAGCACCAGAUCAUAUUGCCGAAGAAACACCAUGUGGUGGACUUGAUAGUUCGUUACUAUCAUAAUUUGACGGGCCACUCGGGAUCGGAAAGGGUACUGACGGAAGUCCGUCAGAAAUUUUGGAUAAUCAAGGGAAGGCUGGCCGUAAGAAGGAACAACACAAAAUGUCUGCACUGUCGCAAAAGAAAUGUGAAACCAAUGAUUCAACAAAUGGCAGACUUGCCAAGUGACCGUGUUGCUUCCCCUAGAGCCGCCUUUUGUCAUGUUGGAUUGGACUACUUCGGCCCAUUUGAAGUUAAACGAGGCCGCAGCAUGGUGAAGCGGUAUGGCUGCAUAUUUACCUGCCUCACGACCCGGGCCAUACACAUUGAGGUGGCAGAGAAUCUUACAACUGAUUCGUUCAUCAAUGCCCUGCAGAGAUUCGUUAGUAGGCGAGGGAUGCCGAUCAGGAUCCGAUCCGAUAAUGGCACAAACUUUGUGGGUGCUCAGAAAGAGUUAAAGAAAGCAAUACGGGAAUGGAAUCUCAGCCGUAUUGAGGAGUACAUGCGCCAACGAGAAAUCACAUGGGUUUUCAAUCCCCCUGCAGCAUCCCAUAUGGGGGGUGUAUGGGAGAGGCAAAUCAGGUCUGUAAGGAAAGUGCUAGAUGGCAUAAUAAAGCAGCAGAACCUGACAGACGAUACUCUUCACACAAUGAUGUGUCUAGUCGAAGCCAUAAUAAAUGGAAGACCCCUGACGAAGCUGUCAGAUGACCCAGAUGACUUACAACCCAUCACACCAAACCAUUUGCUGCUCCUGCGCCCCGGAACCUGUCAACCUCCUGGACUGUUUGAUGAGGCCGAUCUGUACAGAAGGAAAUGGAAGCAAGUACAGUAUCUUGCUGAUUUGUUUUGGCGUAGGUGGACCAAGGAGUAUCUGACUGCACUGCAAGAGCGCCAGAAGUGGUGUCACGCAAGUCAAAACCUGAAGCCAGAUGACCUGGUUCUGAUUGUAGAUGACAAUGCUCACAGGAAUUCCUGGUUGUUGGGACGAGUAAUUGAGACGUAUCCUGGUAAGGACAACCUGGUAAGGUCAGCCAAGAUCAAAACACAUCACAAUGAGCUGACACGACCUGUCACGAAGCUAUGUUUACUUGAGUCGUCUGUUGAUAUCUAAUGAGUUUCAUCUGACCAGCAUGUUUCUUUUGGGGGGCAAUGUUUAUGACACACGAUGCGCGUGACCUUGUCACAUACAACCUUUGACUGCUCAUCCAUGAUAUGUAUUACGGUAUGCAUGUAGGCCCAUGUGCGGCUGGUUGUUUGUAGAUUUAGGGAUUUUGUCUCUUGUAGAUUUGAAUAUUAGGUAAAUGCUAGGCUAGGACGCAUUUAUGGGGCCGGAAUGUUACAGACAAAAUCAAUAUAUAUAUAUUACAUAUUUCUUAUCCUUCAUGCUGGCUAACCGUUUCUCUUUCUAUUGAUUUAUGUAGGCCUAUCUGAACUUUAGCCUUAUCUUAGCAGUUCCCAGAGUGUCAAGCCGUAAAAGUUAAUUAAUACUGUCACAAAGUUCAUGUUGAAGUCAUUGAAGAUUUUUGGGUCAUCUGGAGUCAGUGAGAUGUACACCGUCAAGGAAGCAAGAUGAACAUUUAAAGGCUACUUAUAUGUAUUACUUUCAAGUUAAAUUCCAGAGAAACUUAAGAGUCCCCAGCUUUAUUGAACCGCCGCCGCCACCGCCGCCAUCACUAUAUAGAUGAAGACAUCAUCAUCAUCGUAAGAAUCUCCAAAGUCAUGUUAUGUAAAGUGAAAGAUCAAAAGGGGCAAAUAAAAGGCGUGUUUCUUUUUUACGGGACACAACUUCGUUCAAGUUAUUCUUAAGGAUAUUUGGUACAUCUCAUU